AAGUCUUUAAGUUAAACUAAACUAUUAAUCUUCAAAAUUAAAAUUAAAGAAAAUCUUUAAGUCUUA
rnacentral:tRNA from 1 species